AAUAUUAAUUUUAAUUAUAAUUUCGAUAUUAUUAUAUGUUUAAGCAUGCCCAUGCAUCACUUAUAAAUAUGUAUCUAUAUAGUUAAACAUUAAGCACGUUUUAUAUUACAUUCAUAAUUGUUGAAGUGCCAUGGAUGUUGUUUGGAGUAAUUUGGAGCAGUGUGUGUGUGUGGUGUGAGUGUGAUAUGGUAUUGGAGAAUUAUUUGUUGUGGCUAACCUGCUUUUCUUCUUCACAGGUCCAUUAAUAGUAUUUAAUG
rnacentral:misc_RNA from 1 species